rnacentral:rRNA from 1 species
ACUUCAGGAAACUGGGGCUAAUACCGGAUAGGAGCUCCUGCUGCAUGGUGGGGGUUGGAAAGUUUCGGCGGUUGGGGAUGGACUCGCGGCUUAUCAGCUUGUUGGUGGGGUAGUGGCUUACCAAGGCUUUGACGGGUAGCCGGCCUGAGAGGGUGACCGGCCACAUUGGGACUGAGAUACGGCCCAGACUCCUACGGGAGGCAGCAGUGGGGAAUAUUGCACAAUGGGCGGAAGCCUGAUGCAGCAACGCCGCGUGCGGGAUGACGGCCUUCGGGUUGUAAACCGCUUUCGCCUGUGACGAAGCGUGAGUGACGGUAAUGGGUAAAGAAGCACCGGCUAACUACGUG